GAGACACACACACACUUCUCUCUCUUUUUCUUUUUCUUUUUCUUUUUUUUUUAAACACCACUUUCACUGUACUUAGAAUUUUUUAACAUCUUCUCUUUGCAGGCACUAAACAAUUAGUAGGAGUCCAGCACUAACAUACUGACUUUACAAGGAUCCACCAGCAUGACUCAGCAGCCUGCAAGCCUGAGCUCCAGUUGCAAGUGGUUACUACUACCUUCUCCUGUUCCACUUGUAGAAAAAAAGAAAAAGAAAAAAAGAAGAUCCCAAUAAGUUUGAGGACUAGAGGAAGAUGGGACGAUAUUGAAUUUGAAUAAUAAACCAGUAAAUAACCUAAAAAAAAAAAAAAUUUAGAAGACAAGGAACUAUCAUAAAGUAUGUCUCAGGAGUUUCUGUAAUUCCCAGAGUUUGAGCCUGCAUAAAUAAGAAAUAAAAGAUGAUGAAGUCUUAGCUGCCUGUGAAAACCCACCCUUAUAGUAGGACCAAGCAAGGAUGGGUAUACUUUCCUGAUAAUAAGAACUGAUAAAUCAAUUAAGUGCAUUAGCGGGGUAUAUAAAACUUUUGAAUGAUGUUAUUCAUGAGGUAACUGCCUAGCCUCUGUGUGCAGGGCAUGCUUGUGACAAGAAGGAAUGAUCAAAGACAGCUCAGGAUAAAUGGAAGAGGAGAAAAAAGAAAGAUGAAAUAUUUUAACCUUCCAAUGGGAGGUAGAGGGGAAUAGAAGAGAUUCGACUCUGUCUUCCUCUGCGGUUUUCACUAGGUGAUGGAAGUCAUACAGACUCAAGGCUAGCACUGCAGAAGCAUAAAAAUAUUUGCAUGCUGGUUCACAGCUCCCAAAGCUUCACUGAUUCUUCACAGUUCAGAGAAAUAUUGAUGUAAUAUCAUGAUAUUUGAUGAUACUGUACUUUUGGGUAUCAAGAGCAUGAAAGAUUCAAAUGGUAAAAUCCAGAACUGCUAGGAAUAAAAAUGUUUAUGAAUCCCUUUGUUCUUCAUUUGUCCUUGAAAUCAAGGCAUGUGGGAACAUUUAUGCCAUUGACUUCACAAAGCAAAGAUAUCUCAGAUAUUGGCUACAGUUUUUCAACUUGUCUAUGCUCGAAUAGAGUGGUCAGUGACCUCCAAAGAGCAACUCAUUCAGUCCAGCUGCAAGCCAGCUUGCUAUUUUACCUUUUUUAUUUAUUCUGAUCAAUAAAUAAAAUAAAAAAUAUAAGAAAGUGCA
ensembl:lncRNA